rnacentral:tRNA from 1 species
CCGCCCGGUACGCCGGCAUGAAGAACGUGCCGCUCUUCCUGCGGGCGGCCAGGGCCUGGCUGGCCCGUGAGGGCGGCGGGCACGUCGUCGUGUGCGGG